rnacentral:rRNA from 1 species
UACGAAGGGGGCUAGCGUUGCUCGGAAUCACUGGGCGUAAAGCGCACGUAGGCGGCUUUCUAAGUCAGGGGUGAAAUCCUGGAGCUCAACUCCAGAACUGCCUUUGAUACUGGAGAGCUUGAGUCCGGAAGAGGUGAGUGGAACUCCGAGUGUAGAGGUGAAAUUCGUAGAUAUUCGCAAGAACACCAGUGGCGAAGGCGGCUCACUGGCCCGUAACUGACGCUGAGGCACGAAAGCGUGGGGAGCAAACAGG